AUUGAACGCUGGCGGCAGGCCUAACACAUGCAAGUCGAGCGGUAGCACAGAGAGCUUGCUCUCGGGUGACGAGCGGCGGACGGGUGAGUAAUGUCUGGGAAACUGCCUGAUGGAGGGGGAUAACUACUGGAAACGGUAGCUAAUACCGCAUAACGUCGCAAGACCAAAGUGGGGGACCUUCGGGCCUCAUGCCAUCAGAUGUGCCCAGAUGGGAUUAGCUAGUAGGUGGGGUAACGGCUCACCUAGGCGACGAUCCCUAGCUGGUCUGAGAGGAUGACCAGCGACACUGGAACUGAGACACGGUCCAGACUCCUACGGGAGGCAGCAGUGGGGAAUAUUGCACAAUGGGCGCAAGCCUGAUGCAGCCAUGCCGCGUGUGUGAAGAAGGCCUUCGGGUUGUAAAGCACUUUCAGCGGGGAGGAAGGCGGUGAGGUUAAUAACCUCAUCGAUUGACGUUACCCGCAGAAGAAGCACCGGCUAACUCCGUGCCAGCCGCCGCGGUAAGAC
rnacentral:rRNA from 1 species